GUGCACCAGGCGCGAAAACUUUACAAUGUGCGAAAGCACGAUAAGGGAACUCUGAGUGCCUCCUACGGAGGCUGUUCAGGUGCCUAAAACACACCUGAAGGAAGGGCUGGGUAAGACCGGUGCCAGCCGCCGCGGUAACACCGGCAGCCCAAGUGGUAGCCACUUUUAUUGGGUCUAAAGCGUCCGUAGCCGGCCAGGUAAGUUCCGUGGGAAAUUUGGCCGCUUAACGGUCAAACUACCAGGGAAUACUGCCCGGCUUGGGACUGGGAGAGGGCAGAGGUACUCCAGGGGUAGGGGUGAAAUCCAUUAAUCCCUGGGGGACCACCGGUAGCGAAGGCGUCUGUCCAGACCAGGUCCGACGGUGAGGGACGAAGGCUAGGGGCGCGAACCGGAUUAGAUACCCCUGUAGU
rnacentral:rRNA from 1 species